rnacentral:rRNA from 1 species
AAAUUGAAGAGUUUGAUCAUGGCUCAGAUUGAACGCUGGCGGCAGGCCUAACACAUGCAAGUCGAACGGUAACAGGAAGCAGCUUGCUGCUUCGCUGACGAGUGGCGGACGGGUGAGUAAUGUCUGGGAAACUGCCUGAUGGAGGGGGAUAACUACUGGAAACGGUGGCUAAUACCGCAUAACGUCGCAAGACCAAAGAGGGGGAUCUUCGGGCCUCUUGCCAUCAGAUGUGCCC